GAGUUUGAUCUUGGCUCAGAACGAACGCUGGCGGCAUGCCUAACACAUGCAAGUCGAACGAGACCUUCGGGUCUAGUGGCGCACGGGUGCGUAACGCGUGGGAAUCUGCCCUUGGGUUCGGAAUAACAGUUAGAAAUGACUGCUAAUACCGGAUGAUGACUUCGGUCCAAAGAUUUAUCGCCCAGGGAUGAGCCCGCGUCGGAUUAGCUAGUUGGUGAGGUAAAGGCUCACCAAGGCGACGAUCCGUAGCUGGUCUGAGAGGAUGAUCAGCCACACUGGGACUGAGACACGGCCCAGACUCCUACGGGAGGCAGCAGUGGGGAAUAUUGGGCAAUGGGCGAAAGCCUGAUCCAGCAAUGCCGCGUGAGUGAUGAAGGCCUUAGGGUUGUAAAGCUCUUUUACCCGGGAUGAUAAUGACAGUACCGGGAGAAUAAGCCCCGGCUAACUCCGUGCCAGCCGCCGCGGU
rnacentral:rRNA from 1 species